CGACCUGAGAUCAGACGAGAUUACCCGCUGAAUU
rnacentral:rRNA from 1 species